GGGGAAUAUUGCACAAUGGGCGCAAGCCUGAUGCAGCCAUGCCGCGUGUGUGAAGAAGGCCUUCGGGUUGUAAAGCACUUUCAGCAGGGAGGAAGGCGAUAAGGUUAAUAACCUUGUUGAUUGACGUUACCCGCAGAAGAAGCACCGGCUAACUCCGUGCCAGCAGCCGCGGUAAUACGGAGGGUGCAAGCGUUAAUCGGAAUUACUGGGCGUAAAGCGCACGCAGGCGGUCUGUCAAGUCGGAUGUGAAAUCCCCGGGCUCAACCUGGGAACUGCAUUCGAAACUGGCAGGCUUGAGUCUCGUAGAGGGGGGUAGAAUUCCAGGUGUAGCGGUGAAAUGCGUAGAGAUCUGGAGGAAUACCGGUGGCGAAGGCGGCCCCCUGGACGAAGACUGACGCUCAGGUGCGAAAGCGUGGGGAGCAAAC
rnacentral:rRNA from 1 species